rnacentral:lncRNA from 1 species
AAUCAAUAUUACUAUUCAAGAAUCUCUCAGGUCGGUACUCCUCUGGAUCAUCCCAUGACAAUGGGUCUCUUCCGAUUGCCCAAGCAUUAAUAAGGACUUGAGUUUUAGCAGGUAUGUCAUAGUCUAGUAAUUUUACAUCUUCCAUUGAUUCACGAGGAACUAGUAGUGGAAACGGUGGAUUAAGCCUGAGGGACUCUUUGAUCACUGCUUUGAGAUACUGCAUAUUUCCUAAGUCGUCCUCUGUUACCUCUGCUUUUCCUUGGACUAAUUCUCGCACUUCAUUCUGUAAUUUCUCCAUGGCUCUUGGAUUCCUCAAAAGCUCUAUCAUUAUCCACUCUAAAGUUGUAUAUAUUGAAUCCGUACCAGCAGUAAAUAAGUCCUUUGCAUUAAGAGAAACACAAAUAAAAAUGAGUUUAUAAAAGAAGGCCUCAAGACAUAGGACAUAAACCACGAAUUUCUAAAUUAUACUAUUUAUUAUAUAAUAGAGAAUAUGAAAACAUAUCAGAAAUGUUGUAGAAAUUCAAACUAAAAGGGGCAUAAUAACAGGGUUAAUGUAGUUUACAAAAUAUAUGUAAAUAGUGCUAUAUACUACCAAAUAAUACAUAUAACAUAACAGAAGUGUACAUUUACAAAAAUUUCUCAUAACAAUAUUCUAAGUCACCAAGUUUUUAAAGUUGAACAAUGAAGCAAUAUACUAUAUCUUUUUUUUAAAAAAAAUAAAAUAACAUGCCAAGGGAAUAAGGAGUAUUACCAAAAGGAGAGCCUUCAAUGAAUCUCUUUGAAGAGGGAAACCAGUCUCUUUUCCAUUCUGAAUUUCCAGCAAAACGCCCACGAAAUCUUUAGCUUCACCCGCACUGUAUUCUGCUUUCUUGCUCCUUAUGACGCGUUCUUCAAUCACGCUCUCUAGAAAUUCAUCCAUAUCUUUUGCUACUUUCUUCACUCUAGUGUCCAGACCAUUAAUUUUAUUAACCCAUUUAAGCCAUGAAAUAUAAUCCCCAACGUUAAAAGUACCAAGAAGUUCAAGAAUUUCUUCUUCGAGAGCCUUAACAGCUAUCCCACUUUCCCCUUCAUAGUAUGUCCUUCCUAUGUUCACUCUGCUGAUUAUGUUAUUAGUCAUACAACUUAAAACAACUCUCAUAUGUAUCACAGAAUUACACUCUUGCCUGAUUUUUUCAAUCAUGUUUGAUGUUUCUUCUUCUCUCACAUGACAAUAAGAUUGAACUCUUUUGUUGCUGAGAAGGUGAAGCACAGCGAUGCUUCUAAUUUGUCUCCAGUAUUCACCAUAGGGACUAAAUGUCAUGUCUGUAGAGCCAUAAAGGAGUUCAUCAGCGAUGCUUGAUUUAGGUCUGUUUGACCAUACGAGAUCGUGAGUUUUCAUGAUAUCACGAGCAACUUCAGCAGAAGAAACAACAAUCACUGGCUUACUGCCCAAGUGAAGUAGCAUGACUGGACUAUAUUUUUUUGAUAGUUUAUGGAGAGAACGGUGAGGAUGUGAACCAAGCUGAUGCAGAUUUCCAAUGAUUGGGAGCUUUGUUGGAGAUGGUGGUAUUUUUUUAUUAUUAUUGGAAGUAGUAAAGCAGUUAUGAAGAAAGAAAAUGAAAACAAACAGAGGAACAGCAAUAUAAUACCAAGGAAGCUCCAUUUUCUUAUGUAGCGAUUUGGAGAAUUGAGUAUAGACAAAUGUAAUAUAUAUAAUCAUAUUUUUCUUGGUUCAUUAUUGUUUCCUUGGACCAUUAUUUGAUAGUACCAUGGGGCAUGUAGUAAUUUUUAUGCAAGCUUUACUAGCAUUCAGUAUUAUAAUUCCACAAAUUUGGUUUGCUAGGCAAGAAGAACAAUCUUCAUAAGCAAAGUAUUUUAGCACAUGACUAUUAUUUCCUUGACAUGCCACAACUGGGUUUGGUCCUCCUAUUUCUUGACUCUUUCUUUUUUAUUUCACUACAACUCUACCCCUAUGGCUCUGUAAUAUUCACAUGUUUCCACGACCUAGAUAUCUUUAGGAGAGGCAGAGCGUGUUUCUCUCUAGAGAAUGCAAAGUUUAUUUAGCUCUUGUAAACCCUAAUCAUCAACUAAGGGGUCGUUUGCAUUCGAGAACAUAAAAGAGAUAUACAAAACACCCAAGAAAAAAGGAGUCAACCAGUACACUUCUUACAUACAGUGAAUUCUGAAAUUCUCUUCCACUGCCCAUUUCAAUGGGUUUCAAAUUAUUAACUAUUUAGUAGUUUAGUACUUAUUACAUAUAUACUUAUUUACUACUAGUAUAUUUUAUGACAUUAUAAGAAAUUGAAAGAAAAAAACUAAAUACCGCACGGAGUUGCCACUGCUAGUAAAGGCAAUUUCCUGCGAAUGGAGAUGCCAGUGCAUUCACUCAUAUCCAAAUCCUCCUUUUUUAUUCCUUGUGGUAAUGCAAAAUUGAAUUUGUGCACAAGCCUUGCUAAUGCUAGCUCAAUUAUCACAAUAGCAAAAGGAAUACCUGGGCAACCCCUCCUGCCAGCUCCGAAUGGAAUCAACUCAAAGUUUAGUCCUCUGAAAUCAAUAUCACUAUUCAAGAAUCUCUCAGGUCGGUAUUCCUCUGGAUCAUCCCAUGACAAUGGGUCUCUUCCCAUUGCCCAAACAUUAAUAAGGACUUGAGUUUUAGCAGGUAUGUCAUAGUCCAGUAAUUUUACGUCUUCCAUUGAUUCUCGAGGAACUGGUAAUGGAAACGGUGGAUUAAGCCUGAGAGUCUCUUUGAUCACUGCUUUCAGAUAUUGCAUAUUUCCUAAGUCGUCCUCUGUUAUCUCUGCUUUCCC